rnacentral:rRNA from 1 species
UACGAAGGGUGCAAGCGUUACUCGGAAUUACUGGGCGUAAAGGGCGCGUAGGCGGCCUUCUAAGUCGAACGUGAAAUCCCCGGGCUCAACCCGGGAACUGCGUCCGAUACUGGAAGGCUUGAAUCCGGGAGAGGGAUGCGGAAUUCCAGGUGUAGCGGUGAAAUGCGUAGAUAUCUGGAGGAACACCGGUGGCGAAGGCGGCAUCCUGGACCGGUAUUGACGCUGAGGCGCGAAAGCCAGGGGAGCAAACGGG